UGCCUUUUGGUUUUUAUUUAAAGGUUAUUCUGCUCAGUGUUUUUAAUAGCCGCGGUAAUUUGACCGUGCAAAGGUAGCAUAAUCAUUUGCCUUGUAAUUGAGGGCUGGAAUGAAUGAAUAAACAAAGGUUUUUCUUUAUUAAAAAAAGUUGAUGAAUUUUCUUUCUUAGUGAAGAAGCUAAGAUGAAGAAAGGGGACAAGAAGACCCUUUCGAGCUUUACUUGUUUUGGCCUUUUUGGUUGAGUCUAGUUUGGUUGGGGCGACCUAGGAAUUGGAUCUUCCUUUAUUUACUUUGAUCCACAGUUUGUGAUUGAAAGAGCAAGUUACCGAAGGGAUAACAGCGUAAUUUUCUUUGAGAGCUCUUAUUAAAAAGAAAGAUUGCGACCUCGAUGUUGACUUAUAGUUUCCUUAUGGUGUAGCCGCUGUAAUGGUGGGUCUGUUCGACCUUUAAAACUUU
rnacentral:rRNA from 1 species